UACGGGAGGCAGCAGUGGGGAAUAUUGCACAAUGGGCGAAAGCCUGAUGCAGCUAUGCCGCGUGUAUGAAGAAGGCCUUAGGGUUGUAAAGUACUUUCAUCGGGGAGGAAAAAACAAAACUAAUAAUUUUAUUUCUUGACGUUACCCGAAAAAGAAGCACCGGCUAACUCCGUGCCAGCAGCCGCGGUAAUACGGAGGGUGCUAGCGUUAAUCAGAAUUACUGGGCGUAAAGAGCACGUAGGUGGUUUUUUUAAAGUCAGAUGUGAAAUCCCUGGGCUUAACCUAGGAACUGCAUUUUGAAACUGAAAUACUAGAGUAUCGUAGAGGGAGGUAGAAUUCUAGGUGUAGCGGUGAAAUGCGUAGAUAUCUGGAGGAAUACCUGUGGCGAAAGCGGCCUCCUAAACGAAUACUGACACUGAGGUGCGAAAGCGUGGGGAGCGAAACAGGGAUUAGGAUACC
rnacentral:rRNA from 1 species